AAGCAUUGGGCACAUUUGCCUUGCCUGUCCUCUUGCUCUGGUGCCCUGUGAUUCCCUUGCUGUUUGUCUGCUGUGUGUCCAUUGCAAGGCUGUGUGUCCAUGUCAAGGCUGUGUGUCCACGUCAUGACUCUCAAUAGCCCCUACCUAACCAUGACCUCUCUUAUCUGCUUGGUCCUCAGGGCCCUUUCAAACCAGCUGUAGGUGCUGAUGCUGUCCUGCGGAGAAGCUUCUCUCUUCCUCUUCAGCACUCCCUGCUGGCGUGGAUCUGGUCAGCCCUUUGGCCAUGAAUAAGGUGACCUCUCCACAAAUAUCCAGCUGGAUUUUAGGCUCAAAGGAGGUCCCAUCACAAAUGAAAUCCAUGCUGCUCCACUUUGACAGGUUUGAUGUUGUGUCAUGAGCAUGCUCAGUGGACAACCUUGUGUGACCCUAAGGACCAAAGAAUUACCUAACACUUAUAAUCCAUAUUCUACAUUCUUAAUACAGAAGGAUUUCUUAUUGCAUUGCAAAGUCUAGGUCAGACGAAAGCAGCAGGUUGAACUUGUUCCAGGUAAUAGGUUUCUUAGUGGCUGAGCAGCCUGCACACAUGAAGGUAGGAUAUACAGAGAGCAAGAAGCAGAACAAGUGGGUGAACAAUGGUUUGGAUUGUGAAAUUAUGUUAAACUUUCCAUUAGAUCGCCUGGUUUGGGAGUGAGCCUUCAUUCAUUAUUCAUUAGUACCUACUGAUUUUAUACCGCAUUCUAAUGGUUGCCCAUGUGGCCCUGAACUAGAUAGAAAUUGUGUAUUUCAAAAUAGCAAUGAGUAAAUUUCAAAUAUCGC
rnacentral:lncRNA from 1 species